AAAGAAACUAACCUACCCUAAAAAGAAAAACAAAGAAACUAACCUACCACGCGUAGGAGUAUUAGUAGACGAGGGCUUCCUAGUUAGUCCUCCAUCGAUUCGCCGGGUUCUUUGCAUGAUGCAUAUGAAGACUACUACCGUCGAUGGCAGCUGCAGGAUCAAACGCCAACCGAAGAUUUUGACCAAGACGUUCUUAUUUAUUUUGAAACAGAAGGUCGGAUCUCUAGUUUUUGGAAAAGACCACAAGGUUAUCAGGCCAAAGAAGACGUUCAGGCUAUGUGUUCGUGACGAGUAUGGCAUGAGGGCAUUGGCUAAACCUGCAGCUGUACUUAAAUCAACGGCACUGCGCCACGAAUUGGAGCUAUGUAACGAGAGAUGGGGGAUUUUUGCGUGGAUUCACGUGUGGUCGAUCAAUUCAUGGCCGGUUUAUAUAGAAAAUUACGGAAUCAUUGGAAAACUGUCAUGCACAAUAAAGAGGGCAAUUGCAAAGUACAGAGAGCGCCGCUUUGAAACCGGAUUAUUUUAUUUUGUCCCGGACAAAAAACAUUUGACAUUCACAGUUAGCAGUUACCUCUACGGAGAUGAUGAGUUCUUAAAAGAUCUGUGGAGGAAAAAGAGACUAGAGCGCAGCAUGAGAGAGAAAAAUCAGGAGUUACACAAGUGUUCCACAUGUUUUCAAAUCUUCCGUAUCAGAGUAUAGAAAUAUUUCUUUCAUAGCUGUCAGAACAUUGAGAUUGUGUGGCAUGGGAUAUUUGUUUUACUUGGUGCUUGUGAUCUCCUUAGCUUUGGCGAUUGUAUAUCUAUGAAAGAUCGUUGUUUCCUUGUUGACUUGUAGUAUAUUUGCCAUAAGGUGUGAACCA